rnacentral:rRNA from 1 species
GAUGAACGCUGGCGGCGUGCUUAACACAUGCAAGUCGAACGAAGCACCUUGAUUCGAUUCUUCGGAUGAAGAUCUUGGUGACUGAGUGGCGGACGGGUGAGUAACGCGUGGGUAACCUGCCUCAUACCGGGGGAUAACAGUUAGAAAUGACUGCUAAUACCGCAUAAGACCACCGCUCCGCAUGGUGCAGGGGUAAAACCUCCGGUGGUAUGGGAUGGACCCGCGUCUGAUUAGGUAGUUGGUGGGGUAACGGCCUACCAAGCCGAGGAUCAGUAGCCGACCUGAGAGGGUGACCGGCCACAUUGGGACUGAGACACGGCCCAGACUCCUACGGGAGGCAGCAGUGGGGAAUAUUGCACAAUGGGGGAAACCCUGAUGCAGCGACGCCGCGUGAGCGAUGAAGUAUUUCGGUAUGUAAAGCGCUAUCAGCAGGGAAGAAAAUGACGGUACCUGACUAAGAAGCACCGGCUAAAUACGUG